UGUUUUCUCAUAGACACAAGGCAUUGAUGACUCACUUCCUCCUAGAGUCCAAACCCAUCUGGACUGCCUGAGAGUUCUUGGCAGUGGCCUACAACCACAUGGAAGCUGGCCAACCAGUUCUAACCAUGACCUGCUGACUGGCAGCUCAUCACCAUGUUCCAGAUUAGUUCAAUAACCACGCCAAGUAGCUCUAAGUUCCAGUCCUGCAACUCUCAGUCAGGCUCAAGAAAAGCUCCAAUGAGAUGGGACUUAAAAUAUGAUUAACACAUACGGUGAGUGUUUAAAUUUUAAAAUUUAUUACAGUAAAAGACACAUCGCAUUAACCCUCCCUAAGCACUCCCUCUCAUACACUAUCCCAUUGUUCUUGCCACUUUCUGAAGCAGCUCUGGAAGUUCUCUUUCCUGAAUGUCAUUACAAAGUAUAGCCAAAAAAAAUACAGUGAAUGCUGUUGCCAAGUGCCAUCUGAGGGAAAGGCAGGAUCCUAAAUACAUUACGGUGUGUCCUCAUCUACCUUGUUCACUGACUCUGGCCCCAUGUGACUUCUGGCUCUUCUCCAAAGUCAAGAUGACUAUGAAAGGGCCCAGGGAAACAGGGUGAAGAUGGUGCUGAGUAUUUGAAGGCCCAAGGUGGACCAGCUCCAUGAAGAUCGACAUGUGUAGGAGCCACCUUUUCACCUCACAUGAGGAAGAGACGUUCUAACCAUACAAGGUGUCCAAGGAACCCUUCUCUUUGGAAUCUGAUUGAAGCAAGAGCCCACAGGGAUUUAAUGAUCAUCUAUGCAAUGAUAUUCACGGCAAGUCUCCAACCAAGUCCCCAAUUAAAAUCCAAACAAAAAGGGGAGGGGACACAACCAGGGACUGAGUUAAUAAAAGGAGUUAUACCUGUAGCACAAGACUUGGACAAUUUUUUUUUUUUUCUGAGACAGGGUCUCACUUUAUAGUUCACACUGGCCCUGAGCUCACUAUGAAUCCUAGGCUGGCCUUGAACUCACGGCAAUCCUCCUGCCUCUGCCUCCCAAGUGCUGAG
rnacentral:lncRNA from 1 species